UUGCCCUACGGGGGGCAGCAGUAGGGAAUCUUCCACAAUGGGGGAAACCCUGAUGCAGCGACGCCGCGUGUGGGAAGACGGUCCUCUGGAUUGUAAACCACUGUCCCCAGGGACGAAGAUGACGGUACCUGGGGAGGAAGCUCCGGCUAACUACGUGCCAGCAGCCGCGGUAAUACGUAGGGAGCGAGCGUUGUCCGGAAUUACUGGGUGUAAAGGGAGCGUAGGCGGGACUGCAAGUUGGGUGUCAAAUCUACCGGCUCAACCGGUAGCCGCACUCAAAACUGCAGUUCUUGAUGGAAGUAGAG
rnacentral:rRNA from 1 species